ensembl:lncRNA
UGCAUCUAUGAACGUAAUGGAUUGGUAUUAGAUUGUGGUAGCUGUUUGUUAAAAAUAAACCUAUGUCCUUUGUGCUCUUUUUGGGAAGUAAGUCCUUUAGAUUUUAAUGGCAUCUACUCUCAAUUAAAUAUGGCAAGCAAUGGGCUCUCAGGCUAGAUCUACACUGCCCUAUAUCCCAGGAUCUGGUCCCAGAUUAUCUGCUUUGAAUUGGAUUAUAUGAGUCUACACUACCAGAUAAUCUGGGAUAAACAGAUAAUCUGGGAUCAAAUCCUGGGAUAUUGGGCAGUGUAGAUCCAGCCUUAGAGAUAGCCACUUAUCAACCAUAAUGUAUUUAUGUGACACCAUAGUUUGCAGGCCUGUAUUUAAUGUUAACAUGCUGAUAAUAAUCAGUUAAGAAAAAUAUGGUUCGCUUUUUUGGCAUAACUGAAAAAAUCUGGACAAAUAUUUGUUUUAUCCUUUGCAUUCAGAUCUUUCAGGAAUGCUUUUGCUUGCAGUUUUCAUUUAUUAUACUGAAGGUUUCUUAUUGUCUUCCUUAGUCCUCUGCGACAGUCUCUGGAGUUGCCAACAGAGACAGCCAUCAUUCUAAGCCUAGCUGGUGUACAUGCCGUCAUAGGCAACCAAUGGCAUACGACCCUGGAAGAAAAUGCAACAAAUCUGAGCAGUUUGUGUGAAAAUUUAAUAAAAGUAGGCAAAACAACUGGACAGGCUGUUCAUAUCCUUCAGAAGAAUAAGACUACUCUGGAUAAAGAGUCAUAUCAUGUGGAUUCUCCUGAAGGCACUAAAGACCAGAGAGAAAGUCCUGACAAGCUAAGCCAAUCAGCAAUUCAUCCAUCAGCCCUCAAUGCUGUUUUAUAUGGACUGCCCAACAUGCUAUUCAUGUGAUUCAGGAAAUGUCCCUUGGAAAUUAAUUGAGUGAAAUCGAGUGUGAAGUGAGAAUAUUAUUGCUGGAGUACUUUUUUAAAAUAGGUUUUUGUUUUCAGUUUGCUUCUCGUUUCAUAAUUGGCGUUCAGAAAAUAUCCAGGGUUUGUUAUUAAAUAUUUCUCUUGUGCUAAUUUUACUGCAGAAUUGUGAGUGUUUUCUUUAAGUUCUCUUUACGCUUAGUUACAUCACAAGUUAAAUGGUGGCCUAAAUCUAACUGUCAGACCUCUAAGUAAAGCUGAUCCAUUCAAUUAAUGAAACUUAGAUAAGUGGUGACUUAUUAAUUUCCCACUGAUUUAAUAUGUCUACAUUAGUUGGGACAAGCAAUAAGAUUUAGCCUGCCCUGUGUGUGUAUAGCAGUAGAUGUUACAGUAAUAUUUUUAGCAGCACAAAUAGAAUUGUUGUAACAGAUAGAUUGAAACAGUACAUUGCAACAUAUUUUUCCUCUGCAAAUGUAUACCUAUAUUUUUGGGAAUAAAAAAUGUAUGUUGUAUCUUCUCCAUGCUGUUGUUAGAGUCUCUUUUCCACAGAUCAACAUUCACUGUAUAUAUAGUUGUCAUUGCUGUGUGACCUGAGAUCAUUUCUGAAUUACCAUGACCAGGAGUUGAACCAAUUACUGGAUGUUCUUUGCAAUAUUUGUUCAGAGGCAGUUUGCUAUUGUAAUCCUCUCAGGCUGAGAGAAUAUGACCUGCCCAAGGUCAUGUGGGUCUCCAUGGCUGGAACAGAUUUGAGCCGUGAUCUUCAGAUUCAUAGUCCAAUGCUCAAACCACUAGCCGGUUAUAAUAUAAAGCUGCACUAAUAGGGCUGUAGUGUCUAGAUCAAGAAAAGUCAUUGUCCCACCAGCAGCAGUAAUACAGCAUUACUUGCAGGGAUUUCUGUUGACUAGUCUUAACAAAUAAAACUUGGGAUUGCUCAGGCCAGCAUAGUCUAUUAUGGAUAUUACAUUUUCUUUUAUCUUCAAUUUCCUACUGUUUAAUAGGAAAAAAUAACAUCAGCUGAAAAGAUCCCAUCAUCACUGCAUCGUCCCAAAGGUUUUGCCUGUUUUUCUUCUUAGCUAGCCAGAAAGGACUGUUCCCUAUGAUAAAUUGUUUGUGUUCCUUUUAAAGACAUUAAUAUGUCACUGAAAAAUACUAUUCUUGGGUCCCCUGCUAUGCUAAAGUUAAUUAUAACCUGAUAAACACAUAAGAAUUUGUAGCAGAAUAUUAUAAAAUCGUAACAGCUGUAGCAUUAUUUUGAGGGCUGAGGGUUCAUCCAGUGUUAUAAAUAAAUGUUCCCCUUGUUGGUUGCAACAAACCUAGCUUAUUGGAUAACCAUGUCAACGGAUCUCCCCAUGUUUGGUUUGAAAGUGCACAAGGAUUCUCUUUUUACAUUUCAUUUAGAUAUUUUCAUUUUGUUUAAUUUGAUUUUGAUCUUUUUCUCCCUUUAAAUAGCCAAGUUAAUUGGGGUUUUGUUUUUGUUUUUUUGUUAGUUUAAUUUUGGGGAAGUUUUUUAAACUUUGAAGAAGUCUUUUUAAUUUGGGAAUUGCUGGGAAAUGCUGACUAUGAUUCCCAAAAGCCAUGGUUCCUAUUCAGACUUUGCCCCCUCCAAACUUUCAAGACAUUCCACAACAUUUGGAAAGUAGUUCAGUGGUUUGGUGCAAGAUAGCUGUAAAAAUGAAGUGUGAAAGGAACCUGUCUUCUUUCCAGACAGUUAUAGUAAUUGCAUCACUUUCUACUUCGUGGUAAUUUUCUUUGGUGUUCAGUUUGGGCACUGGUGCUCAUUUCAAUUUUAUAGUAAAACUUAUUGAACAGACAUUGACAACUGUAGCUAAUCAUCCUUCUACUAGCAAGAUUGUUUGUAUCUAUAAAUUUCAGUAAUACAGUAGAGUCUCGCUUAUCCAACAUAAACGGGCCGGCAGAACGUUGGAUAAGCGAGUAUGUUGGAUAAUAAGGAGAGAUUAAAGAAAAGCCUAUUAAACAUCAAAUUAGGUUAUGAUUUUACAAAUUAAGCACCAAAACAUCAUAUUAUACAACAAAUUUAGCAGAAAAAGUAGUUCAAUACACAGUAAUGCUAUGUAGUAAUUACUGUAUUUACGAAUUUAGCACCAAAACAUUGACUACAAAAAUGCGUUGGAUAAUCCAGAACAUUGGAUAAGCGAGUGUUGGAUAAGUGAGACUCUACUGUACCAUGUGUUUUCUCCUCAGCAACUUGAAUGUAAGUAGGGACAGGAUGCAAAUAUUUAGUUAUCUUUAACCAUGAUUUUGAAGGGUUUCAUGUUUUCAGACAUAUGUGAUUUGCUUUCUAUGUCAGCGUUGUGUUGAGGUUCCUGUUUCACUUCCAUUACAGCCUGUAGAUAACCUAUUUCCAUCUUUCCCCCAUGAGUGUUAUGCAAAUAUGAGAAAAGUAAUAGUUUGUUAUAGUAGCCUCCCUAAAUGUUCACUGCAUA